rnacentral:tRNA from 1 species
UAGAAUGAAGCUCGCUGGAUUGAGCGUUUAGCUGUUAACUAAAAUUUUGCGGGAUCGAGGCCCGCCUUUCUAG